GACGAACGCUGGCGGCGUGCUUAACACAUGCAAGUCGAACGGUCCUGUUUUUGAAGCGCUUCGGCGUGGAGGGAGCGGGUUAGUGGCGCACGGGUGAGUAACACGUGGAUAAUCUGCCUAUGACACAGGGAUAACACUGUGAAAACGGUGCUAAUACCAGAUACGUUUAUCGAAUCGCAUGGUUUGAUAAAGAAAGGAGCAAUCCGGUCAUAGAUGAGUCCGCGGCUGAUUAGCUAGUUGGUGAGGUAACGGCUCACCAAGGCGAUGAUCAGUAGCCGGCCUGAGAGGGUGAACGGCCACACUGGGACUGAGACACGGCCCAGACUCCUACGGGAGGCAGCAGUGGGGAAUCUUCCGCAAUGGACGAAAGUCUGACGGAGCAACGCCGCGUGGGUGAAGAAGGCCUCGGUUGUAAACCCUGUCUUAUGGGAAGAAAAAUAGACGGUACCAUAGGAGGAAGCCACGGCUAACUACGUGCCAGCAGCCGCGGUAAAGU
rnacentral:rRNA from 1 species